rnacentral:rRNA from 1 species
GAUGAACGCUGGCGGCGUGCUUAACACAUGCAAGUCGAACGGAAAGGCCCAAGCUUGCUUGGGUACUCGAGUGGCGAACGGGUGAGUAACACGUGGGUGAUCUGCCCUGCACUUCGGGAUAAGCCUGGGAAACUGGGUCUAAUACCGGAUAGGACGAUGGUUUGGAUGCCAUUGUGGAAAGUUUUUUCGGUGUGGGAUGAGCUCGCGGCCUAUCAGCUUGUUGGUGGGGUAAUGGCCUACCAAGGCGUCGACGGGUAGCCGGCCUGAGCGGGUGUACGGCGACAUUGGGACUGAGAUACGGCCCAGACUCCUACGGGGGGCAGCAGUGGGGAAUAUUGCACAAUGGGGGCAAGCAUGAUGCAGCGACGCCGCGUGGGGGAUGACGGCCUUCGGGUUGUAAACUCCUUUCGCUAGGGACGAAGCGUUUUUGUGACGGUACCUGGAGAAGAAGCACCGGCUAACUACGUG